rnacentral:rRNA from 1 species
UACGGAGGAUGCAAGCGUUAUCCGAAAUGAUUGGGCGUAAAGCGUCCGCAGGUGGCAAUGUAAGUCUGCUGUCAAAGCGUCUGGCUCAACCAGAUAAAGGCAGUGGAAACUACAUAGCUAGAGUAAGGUAGGGGUAGAGGGAAUUCCAGGUGUAGCGGUGAAAUGCGUAGAUAUCUGGAGGAAUACCGGUGGCGAAGGCGGCAUCCUGGACCGACAUUGACGCUGAGGAGCGAAAGCUAGGGGAGCAAACGGG